rnacentral:tRNA from 1 species
GGGGGUGUAGCUCAGUUGGCUAGAGCGCGUGAAUGGCAUUCACGAGGCCAUGGGUUCGACUCCCUUCACCUCCACGA